rnacentral:rRNA from 1 species
AGUACGUGAAACCGCAUAGAGGCAAACGGGUGGAUCCGCGGAGUCGACCCGGGGAAUUCAGCCUGGCCGCUUGGGGCCCACUGGGGAGCGCAGGAUCCGUUACAGGACCGACUCUCCGUGUGGCGCUUCUUCGUCGGCCGGGUGCACUUUCUCCGAUGUCGAGUGCCACGACCGGUUCUGCGGUGGUCAGAAGCCCGGCGGCAAGGUAGCUCCGCUCCUCGUGGGCAGAGUGUUACAGGCCGUCGAGGUGGACACAUUGCGGGACCGAGGACGCUUGCCGCGUCGCUGGAUUUCGGGCCGUCACUGGUAGUUCGAUGUCGGACGCACUGCUUCGCAGAGCUUCGUAACCGCUGCCUGCUUGUACGGGCCCGUGUGUCCACGGCGCCUCGGGUCUGUGGCGAAUCGGUCGGUCCUCCACCCGACCCGUCUUGAAACACGGACCAAGGAGUCUAACAUGUGCGCGAGUCAUGGGGUCUUACGAAACCCAAAGGCGCAAUGAAAGUAAAGGCCUCCUCCGGAUGGCCCAGGCAAGAUCCCGC